rnacentral:lncRNA from 1 species
GGUGGGGCAUAAAAUGGUAAAACAUGCUGCACAUCUGUUUAUUUUGCUUACACAAUAUUGUCAAUACAAAAUAGUUUUAUUCUGCCAUACAAGUGAGAGUUUAAACUAGCUUUAACACAAUGCUAUUGCUACAUUUUCAUACAUCACAAAAUACCUGUAUCAAGUUUGGAAAAUGACAGUUGUUAUCUAUUAGUUUGAUGUGUUUGGGCGUUUGAUUUUUUCAUUUUGAUUAAGGACUUUGCUUUUCGGAUUUUCCUCAGAGUUAAGUAUGUCAAUCACUAUAAAUUCCAUUAUAUUGACAACAAUGUGUGAACAUAACAAAAUGACAUCGUCAAAAUUAAAGACUACAACAAUAAAUAAUGUGUUAUCAUCACUGUUAAAACAAACAAAUGUGUCAACAAAAAAAAACUAACAAGGCAUAUAGACACAG